AAAGCCUAAAUUACACACAACACACGCAUCUGUCAUCACUUUGCUGAUACGACAAAUUCGAGUCAUGUCAAGGAUGAGAAGUGUCCACUUCUAACCACACAGAACUAAAAGGAAAAAGAAGACAGUUGAGUUUCCUCUCGCCGCCAAUGCACCAGGUUGGGAGCCAACAAGAGAAUGGAGGGAUAGUAAAGCUUUCAGAGGGAUCAAGCCAAAACUUGGCAGGUAUAUUUUGAAAGUUGCAGGUUGCAGAUUGAAACAACCUGUUUAUUCAAGUUGAAAUCCAAUAAAACCUGAAUAUAAAGCCUAACCACAAGCAACCUAUGCUGGUUUAGGCCAACCAAGAGUGCUAUUAUAUUCUGGACAGUGUAAAAUGCAGACUGCAGACUGCAGAGCGGGGGUAAAAUGCACAUGCAGAUAGCAGACCGGGGGUAAAAUGCAGACUGCAGACCACAGACCGGGGGUAAAGUGCACAUGCAGUCCACAGACCGGGGGUAAAAUGCACAUGCAGAUAGCAGACCAGGGGUAAAAUGCAGACUGCAGGCCACAGACUGGGG